GAUGAACGCUGGCGGCGUGCCUAAUACAUGCAAGUCGAGCGAAUGGAUUAAGAGCUUGCUCUUAUGAAGUUAGCGGCGGACGGGUGAGUAACACGUGGGUAACCUGCCCAUAAGACUGGGAUAACUCCGGGAAACCGGGGCCAAUACCUGAUAACAUUUUGAACCGCAUGGUUCGAAAUUGAAAGGCGGCUUCGGCUAUCACUUAUGGAUGGACCCGCGUCGCAUUAGCUAGUUGGUGAGGUAACGGCUCACCAAGGCAACGAUGCAUAGCCGACCUGAGAGGGUGAUCGGCCACACUGGGACUGAGACACGGCCCAGACUCCUACGGGAGGCAGCAGUAGGGAAUCUUCCGCAAUGGACGAAAGUCUGACGGAGCAACGCCGCGUGAGUGAUGAAGGCUUUCGGGUCGUAAAACUCUGUUGUUAGGGAAGAACAAGUGCUAGUUGAAUAAGCUGGCACCUUGACGGUACCUAACCAGAAAGCCACGGCUAACUACGUGCCAGCAGCCGCAGUAA
rnacentral:rRNA from 1 species